AUUGAACUGAAGAGUUUGAUCAUGGCUCAGAUUGAACGCUGGCGGCAGGCCUUACACAUGCAAGUCGAGCGAGAAAUUUUCUUCGGGAAAGAGUAAAGCGGCGGACGGGUGAGUAACGCGUAGGAAUCUACCUAGUAGAAGGGGAUAGCCCGGGGAAACUCGGAUUAAUACCGUAUA
rnacentral:rRNA from 1 species